AAACACCUCACCCAUGACCCAUCUCUCUCUUAUCUUCAAGACAUGUCCACCCAUCUCUCUUCUCGGAAAUCCAUCCUCCCCGCCCCUCCCCACGCCACCCCCGACCGAUCUAUUCGUAGACGGGGACGGGUUGAAUAAUUCCAUGUGUACGCUGGUGAUGAGCCGACGAGACAUGGCCCUCCUUGCCGUCUUCCACAGCUUUCUUGAACUGCAUGCCGCCGGCUGGUGGAUGCUGCGCGCUUGAAUUCCGGUCGAUCCCAAGAGGCGCAGUUCAAUAAAGCUGUGGGAAACUGCAGAGAGAGGCCACCAGCCGAUCCGAUCGAUCGGAUCGGAUCGCGGCACCAGAUCUCGACCACCGCCGGAACUGGGCGGGGGCGAAGCAGAUGAUGCGGCGAUUAAUUAACCGGCGUAGCAGCGGCUGGGGAUCUACCUGCAUCACGUCGAUCCACCCGCGGUAGAUCGAUGGGACCGUCACAACAAGGACAAGGUACGGAUUAGGUUUCUUGUACUGGUAGGAAUGGAUGGUGGUUAUGAAUGCAUGUGUUGAAUUCCGUACACGUGUGUGUGAGAGAGAGAGAGUGAUGGUGCGUAGGGCUGGUUAAUUUCGUCGUCUCAGCUUCUUUCCCGUGCAAUUUAAUCUCAACCUAUGUAUAUACUACAAGAAAAGGGUUGUUGUUAAUUACCAGUGUCUGAAAUUGUGGUUUUUCUGAA